GACGAACGCUGGCGGCGUGCUUAACACAUGCAAGUCGAGCGGAGCGGCGAACGGGUGAGUAACGCGUGAGUAACUGCCCCCCUCUCUGGGAUAACAGUUGGCAACGGCUGCUAAUACCGGAUCGUGGGGGAUGACUCGCGUCCGAUCCGCUUGUUGGUGGGGUAGUGGCCUACCAAGGCGACGCCGGGUAGCCGGCCUGAGCGGGCGACCGGCCACAUGGGGCUGAGCUACGGGCCAAACGCCUACGGGAGGAAGCAGUGGGGAAUAUUGCACAAUGGGGGAAACCCUGAUGCAGCAACGCGCGUGCGGGAGGACGGCCGUCGGGGUGUAAACCGCUUUCAGCCAUGACGCGGUAGUGGCAGAAGAAGCACCGGCUAACUACGUGCCAGCCGCCGCGGUAAUAC
rnacentral:rRNA from 1 species